rnacentral:lncRNA from 1 species
UGAAAACAAACCAUGGGUGGCCUUUCUUCAUCCUGAAGAAGAGCGUUCCUGGCUGACAGCCCUGCCAGAUGCUGUGCACGGCGGACAGUGGCAUCGAAGGCUCUAUUUUCAGAGACAGCAGCAAUGUGGGGCACCAUCCUGCUAGGAUGAAUGGAGUGUGAACCCCUGAUGACCUUUCCCUAAUUGAAGUCUGCAAGAGUCACAACCUGGCAAAGC